ensembl:lncRNA novel transcript
AGUUCCCCGGCUGGAUGCGGUGACUGGUGCCAGUGCUCAGGCGCCCGCUGCCCUUGACCUCCCGCCCCGCGAGCCCUAACUCAGCGCAGGAGGACCGGCUGCCGCCGCCGCCGCCGCCAGAGCCUUGGCUGCCCAGUUGCCAGUCCUACCACGGUCGGAGGUAACCUUCCUGGCUCCAGUCACAUGGCCAGAUAAGGUGGUGUGUGUGGGCAUGAAUUAUGUGGACCACUGCAAAGAACAGAACGUGCCCGUGCCCAAGGAGCCCAUCAUCUUCAGCAAGUUUGCCAGCUCCAUCGUGGGGCCCUAUGAUGAGGUGGUCCUCCCACCACAGAGCCAGGAGGUAGAUUGGGAAGUGGAGCUGGCCGUGGUCAUUGGAAAGAAAGGCAAGCACAUCAAGGUGAAGUGGAAAAGGUGGGCUCCCAGGCCAGAGUGCAGCAGAGUCCCCAGCUCCUGCCUCUCCUAGUUCUGACCUCGCUCACCAACACAUGGUGCCAGCUGUCCCUGACACUAGGAAGCAGUCAGCCUCCUUGCUCCCUGACACUGCCUUUCCCUUCACCCACCUUUGGCUGGCUCUGGCUACUAACAUGGGAUAACAGCUUUGAGAUCCCUUGCCACAGGUGUUGGUGUCACCCAUGAUCUAUCCUCCUGUAUGGCCAAAUCCCCUGCCCCCAUAGGCCACAGAUGCCAUGGCCCACGUGGCCGGCUUCACUGUGGCUCAUGACGUGAGUGCUCGUGACUGGCUAACAAGAUGCAAUGGGAAACAGUGGCUGCUGGGAAAAACCUUCGACACCUUCUGCCCUCUGGGCCCUGCCUUGGUGACCAAGGACAGUGUAGCAGAUCCACACAACUUAAAGAUCUGCUGUCGAGUGAAUGGGGAAGUGGUCCAGAGCAGCAACACCAACCAGAUGGUAUUCAAGACAGAGGACCUGAUAGCCUGGGUGUCCCAGUUUGUUACCUUUUACCCAGGGGAUGUCAUCCUGACUGGGACCCCCCCACCUCCACCCAGGUGUCGGUGUAUUCAGGAAACCUCCUGUCUUUCUCAAGGUCUCUGAAGGUCCAGACAGCACUGAUGGCGAGCUUUGGGUCCGCACACUCUGGAAAGAAGAGAGAAGUGAAGGCUCUAGGAGCCUGGGCUGACUGGUUGGGACUCACCGAAGAUCCCUUCUUCCUGGGCGGUGGCCUGCAGGAACUGGAACAGCUGCUCUGUGUAGCCCAACUCUGCAGAAGAGAGAAGACCUAGACCUGGCACCCAGCACAGACACAGCCUGCCUCGAGGACUGCAAGGGAACAAGGGCCUCACCAGUAUCGGGCAGCUGGCCCUGGCGGAGGAAGGCGGCAGCCUGUGCAAAGGCCUUGAGCAGCGGGCUGAGCAGGCGGCAGAGGAAAAGAAAGAAAUCUGGGCAGUGUGACUGCUGGCUGAGCUGGAGGGGACAGGCCGGGGUGAGUGCAGCUCCCCACCGCCUCCCUACCACCUCCCUCCAGGGGCAGCUUUUUGAAACACACCCUGAAGUACCGGCCGUCAGCCUCUCCGAAGUCAUCACUGUCACUAUCAGUAAAGUCCCCACUCGGUUUCCAC